AAAAAUGGGAUAGACGUGGAAAUUGAAGGACCAAGCACUGAACUAAGUGAGGACGGGGAAGAAAGCAUGGCACUUGAUAAAGACUAUUAUCAACAUGUGAUGGAGGACAUUGAUGAUGAAGAAGGAGAGCCAAAGAAGAAGAAAACCCGUGGAAAAACAACUUGCAAGGAGAUUUAUGCAAGGACUAUGGAACAGCGGGAAGAAGUCACUUUUGAUAUUGGACAGCCCGUAGGACCAACCGACCAAAGUGUUUCUAAUUUAACUAGUUUUGUUGGCACUAUUGGUAGAAAUAAAAGA